AUGGCGGCGUGGCCCAACCCGUGGCUGCCGCUCGUCCUCGUCGCCGCCUUGCUCGCCUUCGAGGACUGGCUCUCCACGCCCUCCUGCUCCGGCGGCUCGCCCGCCCCCGACCUCGCCGCCGGGGACCUCAGGGCGAUGAUGGUUGCCGACCUGAUGCUCCUCGGGUCCGACGCCACCUACGCCGACCGCUUCUUCCGGGACCACGUCACGUCCAAGCUAUUCACUAAAUCUAUUCAAACAACAAAUCCAGAUAUGAUCAUAGUCCUUGGGGACAUCUCAGCAAGGGGUUCGGAGCAUAACGAGAGCAAAUGGAUAGCUGUUCUUGAACAGUUUGAGGGGAUAUUAGGGCAGUACUCUUCCCUUCCUCUUCAUAUCGUGUUAGGUGACAAAGAUGUUGGCGAAUGUUCGAGUUUGGAUGGUAAAUUGGUGCACCGUAUGGCCAAGCAUUUGCCAGGACUAGAUUCAAGUGGCUGUGGCGCUUUUGAGUUUAGUAAUAUCAGUUUUAUGUCUCUAAAUGCGGUGGCACUGCUCUGUGGUGACAACACGUUGCGGUUCAGUGUUGAGAAGGUUAUGGAGAAGGAAAGCCAUCAUUUCCAAAAGAAAAGGUUAAAUGGAGCAGAUCAUUCUCCUCUGGGAAGCGAAAAUGGAGAAGGUGUCGGUGCCCACAGUUGGAGGCAAAACAGCAUGACGUUGGGAUCAGGUCCUGUCCUUUUGCUCCACAUUCCACUACAUAAGUCCCAAAAGUCUGACAUAGGAGUCAUUGGUGUUCCCAUGUUUCCAGAUGGAACUGCCUCAGAUCAUCCUUUGGUUCCCCCGAGUUCAAAGCAAAGCGGAGUUGAUGGUAGGAAGCUAUAUGAUCGAUCGCAUACUCUCCCGGCAAAUUCAACACAAUAUAUUCUUCAAGCGCUUAAACCAAGGAUUAUAUUUAGUGCUCAUGCUGAUAGCUUCUCAGACCACACCCAUCCUGAUGGGACAAGGGAAGUAACAGUACCAGCUAUGACGUGGAAGAAAGGAGGAAUGCCAGGUUUUGCCAUCGCUACAUUUGGACAAAAAGGCGUUGUAUCUGUAUAUUGCUGUUGGCUAGUUCAGGAGUGGUACAUAAUGACGGGAUAUUCAGUAUUUUUGUUCUUGACAGCUCUUGCAAUAAGAUGGUCACACUGGAUAUGA
rnacentral:rRNA from 1 species